GGGGAAUAUUGGGCAAUGGACGCAAGUCUGACCCAGCAACGCCGCGUGAAGGAAGAAGGCUUUCGGGUUGUAAACUUCUUUUAAGGGGGAAGAGUAGAAGACGGUACCCCUUGAAUAAGCCACGGCUAACUACGUGCCAGCAGCCGCGGUAAUACGUAGGGGGCUAGCGUUAUCCGGAUUUACUGGGCGUAAAGGGUGCGUAGGUGGUUUCUUAAGUCAGAUGUGAAAUCUGGGGGCUCAACCUCCAAACUGCAUUUGAAACUACUUUUCUUGAGUAUCGGAGAGGUAAUCGGAAUUCCUGGUGUAGCGGUGAAAUGCGUAGAUAUAAGGAAGAACACCAGUGGCGAAGGCGGAUUACUGGACGACAACUGACGGUGAGGCGCGAAAGCGUGGGGAGCAAACA
rnacentral:rRNA from 1 species